CCUACGGGUGGCAGCAGUGGGGAAUAUUGGACAAUGGGCGAAAGCCUGAUCCAGCCAUGCCGCGUGUGUGAAGAAGGCCUUCGGGUUGUAAAGCACUUUCAGUGGGGAAGAAAGCCUUGGGGCUAAUACCCUCGAGGAAGGACAUCACCCACAGAAGAAGCACCGGCUAACUCCGUGCCAGCAGCCGCGGUAAUACGGAGGGUGCGAGCGUUAAUCGGAAUUACUGGGCGUAAAGCGCGCGUAGGCGGUCUGAUAAGCCGGUUGUGAAAGCCCCGGGCUCAACCUGGGAACGGCAUCCGGAACUGUCAGGCUAGAGUGCAGGAGAGGAAGGUAGAAUUCCCGGAGUAGCGGUGAAAUGCGUAGAGAUCGGGAGGAAUACCAGUGGCGAAGGCGGCCUUCUGGACUGACACUGACGCUGAGGUGCGAAAGCGUGGGUAGCAAACAGGAUUAGAUACCCGGGUAGUC
rnacentral:rRNA from 1 species